UCCGGAGCACAGACACCAUGCUCCACUCUCCCAGGAUGGACGGAGGCUAGAAUCUUCCCGGACAGCAAUGCAGAUUGCAAAGCUCUGGUCCGGACGCUCCUCUGCGAGUCCUGAACGCAGGAACCUGGCUCGCCUUGAUUGUCCUCAGUUGACACCCGCAAAGGGAGUUGGCCCCUCCCCGCCUUUGCAGUGCUGGUGAUGGAACCCUGGUCUGGUUGGUGCGUGCCAGGUGGCUGACAUGGAAGAGAAACGAAAGAUGGAGACGGAGAUCCUAGAGGUGGAUAAAGUCCCUUGAAGUCGCUUGGAACUCCACAAGCGAAGAGAUGGCUCAGGGGCAAGCUUGGUGACCUGGGCUUCAUCCUGGGGUCCUGUAAGUUGUCCUCUGACCAUCAUAUGUGCACAGUAGCACCUGUGUACCACCCUCCUACCAAAAAAUAGUGAAAUAAAUAUAAUUUUUAAAAUAUAAAAGGAAUUUCGUAACAUAGAAGAAAGGCAGAGGUGGAUGUUGGUAGGCAGGGGACGCACCUCACGGCCACCACAUCUGACUUCCUGUGGGACACUCUGGUUUGGACAACCGUUCUCGUCCUCCUCUGCGUUGGCCCUGUCAGGCAGGCAUUCGCUGCUGCUCUGUGGAAGUUCCAUGUACAGCCCCCCUCUCCCCUCAGGCUCCCGUCAGCUCGCUCUGGAUAUGCCCAGGUUCAUUCCCACAUCUCUAACAGGAAAGGCCGUGAGCAAGAGAACCUCACUGCUUUUGACAAAGGACCUUGUCAGCACACCGUACAUCCUGGGUCCAGUCACCUUGUGUAGGUUGCCAUACAAUCUUGGGACCCUGUCACAACCAACUGGAAAGAAAGAGAUUAUGGGGGACAGAAAUAAGAGGACCCAGCCAGGGACAUCCCAGAUCCACUGGUCACCUGUGGACCCAGCAACUGAGACGCGGCGGACUAGAAGCA